GACGAACGCUGGCGGUGUGCUUAACACAUGCAAGUCGAACGGUAAGGCCCUUUCGGGGGUACACGAGUGGCGAACGGGUGAGUAACACGUGAGUAACCUGCCCUCAUCUCUGGGAUAACAGUCGGAAACGGUUGCUAAUACUGGAUAUGAGCUUGCAAGGCAUCUUGUGGGUUGGAAAGAUUUUUUUGGUUGGGGAUGGACUCGCGGCCUAUCAGCUUGUUGGUGAGGUAGUGGCUCACCAAGGCUUCGACGGGUAGCCGGCCUGAGAGGGCGACCGGCCACAUUGGGACUGAGAUACGGCCCAAACUCCUACGGGAGGCAGCAGUGGGAAUAUUGCACAAUGGACGGAAGUCUGAUGCAGCAACGCCGCGUGCGGGAUGACGGCCUUCGGGUUGUAAACCGCUUUCAAUUGUGACGAAGCUUUUUGUGACGGUAGCAGUAGAAGAAGCACCGGCUAACUACGUG
rnacentral:rRNA from 1 species